UACGAAGGGAUUCGAGCGUUAUCCGGAUUUAUUGGGUUUAAAGGGUGCGUAGGCGGCCUAUUAAGUCAGGGGUGAAAGACGGUGGCUCAACCAUCGCAGUGCCUUUGAUACUGAUAGGCUUGAAUACACUAGAGGUAGGCGGAAUGUGACAAGUAGCGGUGAAAUGCAUAGAUAUGUCACAGAACACCAAUUGCGAAGGCAGCUUACUAUGGUGUCAUUGACGCUGAGGCACGAAAGCGUGGGGAUCAAACAGG
rnacentral:rRNA from 1 species